CGCGGCCAGGCCGAGGCCCCUCCCCGCCCGGGCUGCGGUGCCUUGGAAUUGUGUGACCACUGUUACUGCGCAGAAUUGAAGGGGAAAUGCCAAUUUUUGGUUGAUUUGUGUCAUCAUCACCAAUGAUCCUUGUCAUCUUUCAUGAAAAGAGAAGGGGACAGUACAUUCCUUAUGAAAAUGAGAUCAUCUCAGUCCUGCCUGGUUUACUGGUGUCAAACUGAUCAAAUGUUCUUUGAAGUAGCCUGACAAUCUUGAAAUUACUUCACAGAGGAAGUAAGACCCUGAAGAUAAUUUUGCUGUACUGAUGACAGCUGAGACAUACCUCCAUACUCAGACCAAGGCUGGGCAGAUCCCUUUUAUGUCUGCUACAGGUAUCGCUAGGUGAGAGAAACCGAAAUCACAAACAUGACCAGGACCCAGUGGGGAAGAACUGAUGAAGAAAGAAAUG